AAAGGAUUUGGCCUACAAUUAUUGAAGUCUAUUUCACUAAAAUAAUUAGCCGCCAUGACUCUUUCUUCCAUCGUCACAUGUUGAUGCUACGAGGAAAUAGAAAUCAACAAUCGAAGCUACCUUGGCACUUGUUAGAUCGGUAAAAGCUCCUUCUGCGCCACAAAGAAGCUCUUGGACGAAGGAUCAGCAGUGCUCUGAAAUGUCGUUCGUACUGACAGCCUUGGGAUGGUUCGGUGAGCACUUCAUCGGGAGCUUGGUCGAAAAGUUUGCAGAUUUUACGGUGCAGUUUGGGGCGGAGGAGGGGCUGCAAGAUGAUCUCAUCGAGCUAAAGACUUCCCUGCACCAGAUUCAGUUCACCAUCAGCAGAGCCGAGAAUAUCUGGAUCCAAGAUCAGGAGUUGAGAGGGAGAUUCAAUGAGUUGCUGAUCCAGCUCAAGGACGAGGCCUUCGAUGCUGACCACUUACUGGACGAGUUCCACUUCCGAGUUCUGCAACAGCAGGCGGAGCAACGAGGAGACAAGGCAAGUCACCAAUCAUCUUCUUCUUCUAGUCUCCCUCCGAGGAAAAAGAGAAGACUUUCAUUGCUUGGUGGUGUUACCAUCGGUUUUUUCGGUAGAGAAAAUCAUGACGACGAUGUGAACAGAGUAAGGGAAAUCCAAGGGAGGUUAGAUAGACUUGCAGAUGCAUUCCAGAAUGUCAUGGCUUCGUUAGAUGCAGACGGCAGAAGAAUCAAACAGCUGGAAACAUCGGAGACGAGAAGAACAACUUCCGUUCCAAUUGCGACUCAAAUGUUCGGACGGGACAAAGAGCUGAAAGAACUCGUAGAACUGCUGUUGCAAUCGCCCCACGGAUCCCCUGCUAGCAACCAUAGCGUCUCUGUCUUGGCAAUUGUCGGCAUCGGCGGGGUCGGAAAGACUACUCUUUCUCAGCUUGCAUGCAUCCACGAGAGCAUGGAGAAAUAUUUCAGACAUAUGAUUUGGGUGUGUGUAUCCGAUGACUUCAGUGUGGAAAGGAUUACCAAAGAGAUCGUCGAGUCUGCAACCCAGAGAAAGUGUGAUUCCAUGAAUUUUGACACCCUUCAAAAGAAUCUAAAGCGGUUGACAUCAGAUCGAUUUCUACUCGUCCUCGAUGACGUGCGCAAUGCGGAGAAACACAAAUGGGAGAGCUUGUGUGCGCCAUUGAGAUGGGGAGUAGCGGGCAGCAAGAUUUUGGUGACGACUCGCUCGACAAAGAUCGCAGACAUAGUCGGCCACGAGCAACCGAUCCAUCUAAAUAAAAUGCCUGGAGGAGGAGAGCUGCUGGGAAUUCUUCAACAAGUGUGCAUUCGGAUCACAAAACCCCGGAGACCAUCCACAGCUGGAAGCCAUUGCCAAGAAGAUCGUUCACAAGCUGGGCGGGUUGCCACUUGCAGCAAGAACGCUAGGGGCGCUGUUGAGGGUGAGGAUGGAAGAGCAGCACUGGAGAAGCAUCAUGGAGUGUGAAAUCUGGGAACUACCACAAGACGAAGAUGAUGUCCUGCCAGUCCUCCAGAUAAGCUACCAGUAUCUUCCUGCACACCUCAAGCGCUGCUUCGCUUUCUGCUCCCUGUUCCCCAAGGAUUACCUAUUUAAUGAAGAUCGUCUGAUUCAGAUUUGGAUGGCAGAGGGCUUCAUCGAACCCCCAGGAAACAUGAGGAUGGAGGAUUUAGGACGCAAUUACUUCCAAGAGCUAGUCAGCAGAUCUUUCUUUCAGAAGUCACAAAACCCUCAUUGGAGUUACUAUGAGAUGCACGAUCUCAUACAUGAUCUUGCGCGAUUGAUCUCCGCGGGCGAGUCUUCCAGGCUACGCAAUGACAACUCACGCGAGUUCUGUAGCACGCUUCGUCAUCUCUCGGUCUUUGCCAAGGAUGUGGAAUCAGAAAGGCUAACGGAGUUCCCUUACCCUUACAAAUUGAGGACCCUAAUGUUGUCGUCGGAACGAAGAGUCAACAGCUAUUUGCUGCCUCUUCACUUGCUGGAAAGACUAAAGAACAUUCGCGUGCUGACUCUGCAGAACUGCGGCAUGAAGAAGUUGGCUGAGACGAUUGAUGACCUGAUACACCUACGGUACCUCGACAUUUCGGAGAAUACUUCGAUUCAGAGGCUGCCCGAGUCAUUGUGUGACCUCCACAAUCUGCAAACACUGAUACUACAGGGCUGUCAGCUACAGAGCUUCCCACAGGGCAUGAGCAAGCUGAUCAAGCUGAGGAAAAUUCAUGCAGAAGACGAGAUCAUUUCCAAGAUAAACGAGGUUGGAAAGCUAACUUCUCUUCAAGAACUAACAGCAUUCAGUGUGCUGAAGGAUCAGGGGCACCAAAUCGCACAACUGAGCGGUUUGACGCAGCUCCACGGAACCCUUCGGAUUAGAAAUCUGGAGAACGUUGGGAGCAAAGAGGAAGCAAGAAAGGCUGGACUGAACAAUAAAGCUUACCUCGUUGAAUUAGAGCUGGAAUGGGUGUCUGACCAACACUCCAACUUGCAGAACAACCAGUUGCUUGUCUCUGAGGAGAUACUUGAAGGUCUGCAGCCACAUCAAGCUCUCAAAAGACUGGUAAUCAGAGGGUACAAUGGUGCCAGAUCUCCCAGUUGGCUGGAGGCAAAACUGCUACCCAACUUGGAAAUACUUGCACUACAAAACUGUAAAAGAUGGAAUGAUUUUUCAUGCAUCGGACCGAUCCCACGUCUCAAGGUCCUUCUCAUGGUGGGCAUGUCGGCAGAGAAAGUGACAGGCCAUGGCUUCUUCGGUGCAACAGAACAGGGCAAGUGUUUCCCUAUGUUGGAAGAGCUUGCGUUCCGAGACAUGGCGGCAUUGGAAGAGUUGUCUUGGAACGAUGGCGGAGUAUUGUUUCCCUGCCUGAGUAAACUCGAAAUACAAGAAUGCCCCAAGCUUCAGAGGUUGUCUCCUCUUCCUCCUUCGCUUACAGAACUUCAGUUAGGACAAGUUGGGUUGACAGAAUUUACCGGACUAUGGGAAGGAAUCGAUGGAAGCAGCAUGAUUUCGGAGAGCAACCUACGAAAUAUCAAAACUAUUGACAUAUGGGGAUGUGAAGAACUAGUGUCGCUGCCGGUGAAGAGGUUUAGAGAACUCACCUCCCUCGAGAACCUGUCAAUACAAAGCUGCCCCGUGCUCAUGAGCAUGACACGAGAGGAGGACAUUGAACUACUGCUGCCGCCCUCAGUGAAGCUACUAGAUUUGAUCGACUGUGGGGAUCUCGGCAAAUCCCUGCCUGCCUGCCUGCACAACCUCACCUCGCUGACCGGAUUGGAGAUAGGUAGAUGUCCAUACUUGAUGUCUCUUCCAAGGGAGCAGAUGCUCCACCUGAAACAACUCGAAUGGCUGAGCAUCAAGCAUUGUGACGAGUUGACAUCUGUGGAGGGGCUACGAGUUCUCAACUCCCUCAGAUUUUUGACCAUCCUCAGAUGCCCCAAGCUUCUGGUGAACGAAGGGGACCGGCAAGGGGAGGUCUUGCCACUGGAGCAAUUAGAAGUCGACGACACUGCGCUGCUCAAACUGCGGCCCAUAAGAGAUGCGCUGCAGUCGCUCCGUCAUCUCGCAAUCAAAUCCUCACCACAAACGGCGAUGUUCGACGGGGAGGAGCAGGAGUUGCUCCGAAGCCUCACGGGUGUCAGAAUCCUGCAAUUCUCCUGUUGCGGGAAUCUCCAAACCCUGCCGACAGAGUUGCAUGCCAUUCGAUUCCUUCGGACGUUAUGGAUCGAAGAAUGUCCGGAGAUCCGAUCGCUGCCGGAGAAGGGGCUGCCCACGUCCCUCACGUAUCUACAAUUCGACAGUUGCCAUCCCAUGUUGACGGAGCAGCUGGAAAAGCAGGUGGCGGAGAUGAAGAGCUCAGGUCGAUGGUGGUAAAGGAAUCCAAAAGACCUUCGAAGUUCGCAAGGAGCAACUUACCUAAUUCUCGUGCCUUUAGCACAUCGAUUCUAUAUUUCCUUUGAAAAAUUAUAUUAAAAUUAUCUAGCCUAUAUUUUUUGAAAAAUUAUAUUAAAAUUUUUAUACUUAUAAAAAUAAAAUAUUUAACUUUAUUUUUUUUUAA